rnacentral:rRNA from 1 species
AUGCAAGUCGAACGGGAAAGCGGGGGCAACUCCGCGAGUAUAGUGGCAGACGGGUGANUAACACGUGAACAAUCUACCCUUGAGAGGGGAAUAACCCCGCGAAAGCGGGGCUAAUACCGCAUAACAUCCCUGAGUCGCAUGGCACAGGGAUCAAAGGCUUNNGUCGCUCAAGGAGGAGUUCGCGGCUGAUUAGCUAGUUGGUGGGGUAACGGCUCACCAAGGCGACGAUCAGUAGCCGGCCCGAGAGGGCGUACGGCCACACUGGAACUGAGACACGGUCCAGACUCCUACGGGAGGCAGCAGUGGGGAAUUUUGCGCAAUGGGCGAAAGCCUGACGCANCAACGCCGCGUGGAGGAUGAAGGCCUUCUGGUCGUAAACUCCUGUCAGGGGGGACGAAACGCCCAGCAAUGGGCAUUGACUGUACCCUCUGAGGAAGCCACGGCUAACUCCGUGCCA